UAGAGCCUGGCUUGGCUGAGGUAAGAAAACCAUGUGCUGAACGUGGAUCUGGAAGAGGGAUUGAGCGAGAAUAUUGUCUGCAUCCUUGACUAGAAGUUGGUGUGGAACAUUUGAGUGUGUUUAUGGGUGUAAGACGCACCAACAAGAAUUCAGAAUCAUUCAACAUGAAGUUGAAGAGAGAAAUUGGAGUACAUCCAAAUGCUUGGAACUUUAUUGAUUGUCUUCAAAAAAUUGAAAAAUCGACCAAGUGACGAUUAUGGCCGGGCCAUGGUGAACCGACCCUUGUCUUGGGAGCGGAAGGCCCGAUAUAUUUCGCGGGACCAGAACCUGAUGCGGUUGAGCCACCAAUUGGAAGCUGGAAACAUCAACAUCAGAGACUUCCUAUUGGCAGCAGCCGAAACAAUCGGGUAGAAUCUGCGACAUUAUGAUGAAAAUUCAUCACCAAACAAUGAAGAAGAGGAGGAGGAUUUGGGCCCACCAGUGGCGCGCAUUCCACCAGUUGAUGAUAAUAUAGCGGCGGGGCAAGACAUCGAAGUAGGAGAUCCAGGAGUGGAGUAAGUUAUAAACUUACUAGAAGAAGGUAGAAAGAAAAUAAUAUAUUAUAGUGUAAAAAGUCUUAUUUUUUAAAUUCACGGUAUUAUUUUAGUCUCUAUCCUUUAUCUGAAAACUUCAUGGACAGUAGCACAAAUAUUAGUACCGUACUUUCCACCAAUAAUAGUAUGCAUGAAUAAAAAGAAUUAAAUGUCAAAAGCUCUUCAGAACCAACAUCUUUGCCACAUCUUCUCUUUAUUACAUCAGCAAAAAAAAAAAAAAAUCACUGCCAAAUCUGAUGUCCUAUUAUAUUAGUGCAAUAUUGUAAAUGACCCUCCCCACACACAUUCCAACUGUUCAAUUCCAAUCCUGUU